rnacentral:tRNA from 1 species
GGGCCGGUAGAUCAACGGUAGAUCGCCGCUCUAGACUCCGUAAGCUCCGGGUUCAAAUCCCGGCCGGUCCA